rnacentral:rRNA from 1 species
UACGGGGGGGGCAAGCGUUGUUCGGAAUUACUGGGCGUAAAGGGCUCGUAGGUGGCCAACUAAGUCAGACGUGAAAUCCCUCAGCUUAACUGGGGAACUGCGUCUGAUACUGGUUGGCUUGAGUGCAGGAGAGGAACGCGGAAUUCCAGGUGUAGCGGUGAAAUGCGUAGAUAUCUGGAGGAACACCGGUGGCGAAGGCGGCUCACUGGCUCGUUUCUGACGCUGAGGCGCGAAAGCGUGGGGAGCAAACAGG